rnacentral:rRNA from 1 species
AAUGAACGCUGGCGGCAUGCCUAACACAUGCAAGUCGAACGAAGGCUUCGGCCUUAGUGGCGCACGGGUGCGUAACGCGUGGGAAUCUGCCCUCAGGUUCGGAAUAACAGCGAGAAAUUGCUGCUAAUACCGGAUGAUAUCGCGAGAUCAAAGAUUUAUCGCCUGAGGAGGAGCCCGCGUAGGAUUAGCUAGUUGGUGUGGUAAAGGCGCACCAAGGCGACGAUCCUUAGCUGGUCUGAGAGGAUGAUCAGCCACACUGGGACUGAGACACGGCCCAGACUCCUACGGGAGGCAGCAGUGGGGAAUAUUGGACAAUGGGCGAAAGCCUGAUCCAGCAAUGCCGCGUGAGUGAUGAAGGCCUUAGGGUUGUAAAGCUCUUUUACCCGGGAUGAUAAUGACAGUACCGGGAGAAUAAGCUCCGGCUAACUCCGUGCCAGCAGCCGCAGUAA